AUUGAACGCUGGCGGCAGGCCUAACACAUGCAAGUCGAGCGAGCGGCGGACGGGUGAGUAAUGUCUGGGUAACUGCCUGAUGGAGGGGGAUAACUACUGGAUACGGUAGCUAAUAUCGCAUACCAUCAGAUGUGCCCAGAUGGGGGUUGCUCGUAGGUGGGGUAAAGGCCCACCUAGGCGACGAUCCCUAGCUGGUCUGUGAGGAUGACCAGCCACACUGGAACUGAGACACGGUCCAGACUCCUACGGGAGGCAGCAGUGGGGAAUAUUGCACAAUGGGCGCAAGCCUGAUGCAGCCAUGCCGCGUGUGUGAAGAAGGCCUUCGGGUUGUAAAGCACUUUCAGCGGGGAGGCGUUACCCGCAGAAGAAGCACCGGCUAACACCGUGCCAGCAGCCGCGGUAAUAC
rnacentral:rRNA from 1 species